UUUUUCAUAGAAUGAAUUUCGAUGACCUCGUGGAAGAAAUGGAUUCCGAAGUUGAAUGCUCACAACCGUUGAGCCCCCAUAGAGAUAAAGUGUUUAAAAAAAUAUCUUACAACCUCGUUUGCGCUCCUCGAGUAGAACCAUCACAAAUUGUGGUACCGUCACCAUCUUCUGGCGGCCAUGCAGAUAUAAUCCAGAAGCUGGAUGCGAUUGAGACCCGACUCACUGCCAUUAAAAAGUCCCUAACAGACAAAGUAAGUAACGCAGUAUUACAUUACCAAAUUAAAACAGAAGCUAAUUUUUAUAAUUUAAUUUUCUAAAUGCCAGAAAAGGCCGAGGUGCAGGCACAAAGCAAGUUAUUGCGCGAAUGCCGCGUCAUAGCGACAAACAUGCAUCAUUCGAUUAUCCGCAUUACCCGUGACUUGGAGGACGAACAUUACGUGGAGCUCGCUUCGAAACUGCCUAUGUCAUCGGAAGAGCACGUAUUAGUUUUAAGUUGUAAAUAUUAGUUCUAAGUUGUACAUAUUAGUUUUAUGUUGUAAAUAUUAGUUUUAAG